UUUAUGGCUUUUAUCAUCAGGAAAAGCAUAGGGAAGACUAGAACACCAUAGCCACAUAGUGGAAUAUAGAGCACUUUAGAAGCUAAAAUAAAUUUAGACUCAGCUGAAGCAAUGAAUCUUCCUGAAAGAUGGAAAAGACGAAACACCUGAAAACGAAAGCAUUCCACUGAGAACUAUAGAUGAAGUAUAAGAACAAAGCAUAGCAGAGCCAGAAGAAAAAAGUGCAGACACAAGAACACAAACUGGUAUCAUAGAGACACCUGCAGUAUUGGCUCCUUCUGACUUCUGCCUCUCUUUCUUAUCACAAUUCAGGUUUAAUGAAGAGAACUCUAUGACCACCUUAUGUGGUAUGUAUGUUAAAACCAUCUGGAGUGGGUACCUGCUGUGGUUUAGCCCCACUCCAUGGAUGCCUGAAAGUUGAAUAAAGGAGAAUCCUCCAAGUGGACAGAACUUUGACAGAGUAGCUGUUUCCUCUCUACAUGUGGAAGGAGAAACCUUCUAAGGAAAAUGACUAUGCUAGUUAAUGAGCUGGCUAGAGAAUUACUGUAUUAAAAGGAAAAUGAUUUGCAAGAUUGGUGAUAAGUCUGGAUAAACCAUAUUUGAAUGAACGUCUAGGUAUAAGCACUAAUGAUGAAAAUAAUUGUACUCACUGUAAAUGAUC